GAUGAACGCUGGCGGCGUGCCUAAUACAUGCAAGUCGAGCGAACAGACGAGAGUGCUUGCACUCUCUGACGUUAGCGGCGGACGGGUGAGUAACACGUGGGUAACCUACCUAUAAGACUGGGAUAACUUCGGGAAACCGGAGCUAAUACCGGAUAAUAUUUAGCUUCGCAUGAAGCAAUAGUGAAAGACGGUUCUGCUGUCACUUAUAGAUGGACCCGCGGUGUAUUAGCUAGUUGGUGAGGUAACGGCUCACCAAGGCAACGAUACAUAGCCGACCUGAGAGGGUGAUCGGCCACACUGGGACUGAGACACAGCCCAGACUCCUACGGGAGGCAGCAGUAGGGAAUCUUCCGCAAUGGACGAAAGUCUGACGGAGCAAUGCCGCGUGAGUGAAGAAGGUUUUCGGAUCGUAAAACUCUGUUGUAAGGGAAGAACAAGUACGUUAGUAACUGAACGUACCUUGACGGUACCUUACCAGAAAGCCACGGCUAACUACGUG
rnacentral:rRNA from 1 species